rfam:Brachypodium distachyon strain Bd21 chromosome 5, whole genome shotgun sequence.
UAACUACUCCCUCCGUCCCAUAUUAAGUGACUCAAAUUUGUCUAAAUAUGGACGUAUCUAUGUAUCUAUAUACUAAAAUACGUCUAGAUACAUCUAAUAGAAAGUCACUUAAUAUGGGAUGGAGGGAGUACUAC